rnacentral:rRNA from 1 species
GAUGAACGCUGGCGGCGUGCCUAAUACAUGCAAGUCGAGCGAACAGACGAGGAGCUUGCUCCUCUGACGUUAGCGGCGGACGGGUGAGUAACACGUGGAUAACCUACCUAUAAGACUGGGAUAACUUCGGGAAACCGGAGCUAAUACCGGAUAACAUGUUGAACCGCAUGGUUCAACAGUGAAAGACGGUCUUGCUGUCACUUAUAGAUGGAUCCGCGCGGCAUUAGCUAGUUGGUAAGGUAACGGCUUACCAAGGCAACGAUGCGUAGCCGACCUGAGAGGGUGAUCGGCCACACUGGAACUGAGACACGGUCCAGACUCCUACGGGAGGCAGCAGUAGGGAAUCUUCCGCAAUGGGCGAAAGCCUGACGGAGCAACGCCGCGUGAGUGAAGAAGGUCUUCGGAUCGUAAAACUCUGUUAUUAGGGAAGAACAAAUGUGUAAGUAACUAUGCACGUCUUGACGGUACCUAAUCAGAAAGCCACGGCUAACUACGU